GCUCCAGCCCUGCCGAGCUUAAAAGGUUCGUCGUCUGCUGCUUGUGCCCGAGCACGCUCUGGGAGAGGGUGAGGUGACGCGCUCAGGCGCUUGACGUCAUCUUUUCCGUUCGGCGCUGCAGCUGCUGGGAGGAAGGUUCUCGAAAAAGAGUCUGAGGCUCGAGCUGAGGGUUCGUAGAGGAGUGGAGUAAAUAUGAUUUUCUCUUUCAUUUUACACUUUGUGGACAGUGUGUCCUCUUCGGCGGAUGCGCAGCGUUGUUUGUGCUUUACUCUGCUGAAGCUCGGUGUCGCGCUCGGGCAUGUUGUGGCGCAGUGGUAUUUUGCAUUAUGUAGAAAAGCUUGCGCAUGCGCAGUGGCGGCCAUUAUGUUGCAGAACAAGCUCAAAUCGCAUGGGAGUAGGGCUGGGAAGUUCGAUUCAGUACUGCCGAACCGAUUCUGACCGUUUCAACGAUUCAUUGAUUCAUAAGUGAAGUCACUUUAUUCUCAUCGAGUUUACCGUAACUUUCGCUUCAGCCACGUUGAGCUCCAGUCUGCUAGUUGUAUUCACUAAUGUAGACGAGGCUGAAGUUGGCUUAUUUGCCAGCUUUUUACUUUAGGGCUCCGUUCCACCUUUAACGGUGCAGCAGUUAGCGUUACAUUCUGCAACCCCUGCGCCAUUUAAGGUGGAACGUAAACAUUGAUCAAGAACAAGAACCCUCGUCUAAAGUAGCCAGAUUACAUUAAACAGUUAUUGCACAACCACAACAGCAACUCAAGCCAGCUGCAAUCUACGGAGAACAAAUGUAAAGCUAAAAUACACACAGGUGUGGUAUUUUUAUGACUUCGAAACGUUAAACUACAAAAGAUUACUAUUCUAAUACAGGUCUUAAUUCUUUAACGUGCGUAGUAAACACUGCUACCAAAGUUCAUAUGUUGUCGUAUUUCGGCUCAACUGAAUUGUUGAAAAGAUCCGGUUCAAAAGGACGAUUCGUUCACGUCGUCCUCGUCGCUACGAGAAACUGCUGCUGGAGGGAGGAGAGGAGGGGAGAGGAGAAUAGAGGGGGAUGGGCAGUGGCUAGACGAGCCAGAGGGUUGAAUGAAGUGUGGCAGCUAACAUGCCAGUAUGGUGUAGUGUAGUAUAAGCAGCGAUUGUAAUGUGAAGGCGUGCACUGUAUGUGGUGGGCGGCAUGUCAUGUCUGUAGUUAAUGUGGUCGUUUGCAGUGUAGGUAUCGAAUGCGCAACUGCGAGGGCGAUUGGUUAGUUUGGGGCUGGAGUGAGGCAUCUUUCAGAUAAGCUGAGAGGUUCCUUUGUAUGAGUAGUAAAAUACCGUAAGCGAUCUACAAACCUGGUAGUAGUGACGCCACGUCGACAAAAAGCGCAUACGCUUUUCAGCUGUGCUGUCGUCUUUUAUAUGGCUGCACUGAACCAAAUUCAGCCGUGCGUCAGUUGCUUUUGAGGAGUCGUUCUAGCUGAUUCUGUCCGGACUGCUGCCAUGCAGUUUCGUUACUGCUGUGAACAAUAUUAAUUCCUCUCAGUCUGCAUUUUACAGUGCAGUCCGUUCGUGAGGCAGAUGACCACAGCUGUCUGUACAAAUGUACAUUAUUUUGGCAGUUUUAGGACAUGGUACAAACAAAAUGCUCAUUAUCUUUUAGAUGGAAUUGAUAAAAUGAUAAAAACAUAAGAUUAUCUCAGUCUCGAGUUAGUUCUUCUAAAUCAUCCAACACAGAUGUGCAAACAACGUCCUAGUUCAUAUGUGACUAACAGUAAAGUAAAAAGCACCACACAGCUCUUUUAGGUACAAUUAACAUUUUAUUUACACUCACAAAUUACUGUGAUUUUUGAACAAAGUCAUCAAGUUAGGUGAGGGCCUGUAAUGCAGUUGGUCCCUCUGAGGUGGUUAUAAGUCAGCCCUGACACCAAAACCAGGCCCAGGAGGGGGUUCAGUCAGAGAAGUCAGACCACCUUCAGGUUCACAUGAGAAACGGCCACUCCUUUGUAGAAAAAGAGAGGGAAAAAAAGAUCUUUAAUGUAGACAUUUAUGUAGGCAGUUAUGUAAUUAAAAUAAAUGUAAUUCAAUAAAAUGUAAUAUCAUGACAUGUCUGUGAGUGAGGAAAAGAUAAAUAUAAAUGUUUGUGUACAGAUUGUUGAAAACAAAGGAGUAGACUAUGAGCCUGAUAGACAAAGGACAAUGUUUGAAAGGCACUAAUCGAUAUAAAUACAAACUACACGACUAGUCAAUCUAAUCAAACAUUUAGUGAUCAUUUUAAAAACGGAAUAAAUCACUUACAAAAAAUAAACAUUUAAUAGCAACUAUCAUGGCAUCUAGGGCUGAAUGAUUUCUGAAAAAUAUCUAACUGAUUUUUCUGACAUAUUAUGUGUGAUUUAAAUGCUAUUUUCUUUAAAUUACGCUCUAGUGCUUUUUCAUCAAGCAAUGCAGCACAUCCAUUUUUUACGUGCUUAAGGCUUAAACACAAUGUAGUGUACCAGUUCACAAGCUCUUAGGUUAUGUUUCUCCAUUUGAAACCUAAGACAACUGCAGUAAUGUAGAAUAUAAUUAAAAUUGUAGCUUUGUGACUAUUGUAAACUGCAAUUUCAUUAUAAAACAAUGAUUUUUUUCAGCCCUAAUGUCACCACAGCUAGGGAUGCACAAAGAUCUGUCUGGGCAGAAAAAGUGUAAACAAUUCACCACAGUAGUAUCAGUUUGAUACUGAGAUAUAGCCAGAGGUGCUGUCUAAAUGACAUGCAAAUAUACACCAUAUACCCACUAGGAAAUCACUAGCCCACUCAAAUUCGUAUUGGCCGUUAAUUCGGUUGCAUGUGAAAUUUUGAAACUACAAAAAAAAUACUUCUAAAAAAAUACUGUAUCAUUAUUAAAAUCUUAUUUUGAACAGCACUGGAAAGAAAAAGUAUCCCAUGUUCUUAAAUUGCAAGUCACACAGACAUUGCAGUGAACAACUGCUAGUAAUGCUUCUACCAUUUUCUGCCCCUUAUAACCCAAUAAUAUCAAAGUUCUGCAUAAAAAUCCUCUCUUGCUGCACUGUUGCAGUGCGAUAACCUCAUUUUCACAUUCUUGCAUACUUAUGACAAAGUUUACAUUAGAUAUAAAUACAAAAUUAAAGCACUUAAACAUUAUUAAAGAUGGUCCUGGAAGUAAAAACACAAUGUACUUAUGUUGCUGUGUGCUAAGCAGGCUAGUUGUUAACAGUUGUUUCAUCAUGUCAAACUACACAACACCACUGGAUAUAAUUAGCCAGGGCCAAUGUAACUUAUUAUCCUGUACUUUCAACUGUAUAUAAGGCACCUUUUAGCAUGUCAGCAAAUUUGAAAGAGAAAGCAGCAAUGACACAUUCUUGGGGUGCAAAAGGGUGAUCACACAGUAGGUGUGGGCAAUGUAACGAUGAUUAGUGUUAUCUUGUUCAGUCACAUUACAUCACAGUAUGCUUUUCUGAGCAUUGUGUAUAUUGUUAGUACAUAAAGAACAAAUAAUAUGAUUCAUUAAAAAUGGAGCAUUAGUCCUGACUAAUUGUAUUAUGUGCAGUGCAGUUUGUAAUGUUGAGUAAAAAUCAUUGUACUUUUUAAUAACUUUUUAACGUAGCACUACUCAUGCUUUUUUAAAUCAGUUCCAACUUAUUAAAAAAUCGCGAUGCAUUUCAUGUAUUGCUAUGUCUGUAGUAAUAUUACGUGUCAAAACGCCCACCAAACAAGAACUUUAGCUUCAUCAGCAAUAAUAGCAAGGAAGUACAUACACUUGUUUAAUUUUCCUUGUAGCACAUCAAAAAAAAAAAGAAAGAUUCAUGAAUUUACAGAGGUUAGCUAUCUCUCUCCCCAGAGUGCACGAUGGAAAACAUUACACAAAACAGAAGUAAAGAGAUCUUUAUAGUUAUUACUCAGCGACAACAAGUAAUCCACUCGAGGGAAACGCCUUCAUACCUGGGCCCAGGUGGAGGGACUCUCCCUGCCUUCAGUUCGUCAAGGAUGUGCUCAAUGUCCGAAGGCUUCAGAUCCUCCUGUGAUGCAAAAAAAAAAAAAAAAAAAAAGCAAAGCAAACACAAAGUUAAACUUGUUUCUUACAUCAACAUGCCACAUGAUUGAGCACUUUUAAGAAAUCUAUAAACGUGAACGGUAACUGUUUUAAGCUUUGAUCAUUUUCUAAAUACUUUUAAAGGGGACCACUCUGGUUACUUGGAAUAGCAACUCACCCGAGGUAAAUUCCCACUAGGCACUACUUGUGAAAGUGUGACAAUGAAUGCAAGUCAGUAAGGAGAUAUGACUCGCUGACCAGACCUCAGUUGUUUUUAGCCUAAAACCAGUUGCAGCUAUGAGUUGCUCUUUUGCUCUGAACAGGCCCCAUUAGAGACUUCUCUACCAUAAAAGGAAAGCUUUCCCAGUUGAUGUGGCUACAUGUGUAAUGCAAGGAGCACACAUUAGCCAUUACCUUACCAGACUGCCCAAAUAUUUGGCAAAAAGGUAGCAUUUAGUAAAAACUGUGAGACUGUAUACGACAUACUAUUAGAAGCAGCCAGGCUGAUAUCAGAUAAGUGGCAAACAGAAACUCCCACCAACAACCCAGAAGCAGAGUUUAUGAUUAACCGUAGGAGUGGAACCUGCUAACCCAUUUUUAGCUACCAAGUCUCAGCUUGUGACUGACUUUCCAUUUAACUGUCGAGCUCACAAUUAAUUGCAUCAUUGCCCAAGUAGUUCAUUAUCAGCACUAUGUGACAUAAGUAGGGUUUACCCCAGAAGACAGUCUUUUCUGAGUCAUUACUCCAUAAAGAUUUGGAGAUAAACAUUAUCUAGUUGGUGACUUGGAACACAUACAGUGUUGUUCUAAUUACCCCUGAAUAACUCCUUCAGACAAAAAAUAAAAUCUCUCCAUGCUGAAAGUACACAAAAACAUCAUAUAUUAGGGGUGCAAUGGUUAGUGUUAUUGAUGUGAAACAUUUAUCAAUGAGAAUUUUCAUAAACAUUCAUUUAAGAAACAUAUAAUGCCUGCUUAGCUAAAUGACUAAUUAUGUAAAUAUUAGACUAGUGAUUCACAAAUAACCACUUCAGUAAAAGAUUUGUCAUAUUUUUAAACAGUUUCGAUGAACUUCACAACUGAAAAAAAAAAAAAUCAAAAUAUUUGUGCCCUGAUCACAUCAUAAAUAUGAUGCAUU